AGAAGGCCUUUGGGUUGUAAAGCUCUUUCGUCGGGGAAGAAAAUGACUGUACCCGAAUAAGAAGGUCCGGCUAACUUCGUGCCAGCAGCCGCGGUAAUACGAAGGGACCUAGCGUAGUUCGGAAUUACUGGGCUUAAAGAGUUCGUAGGUGGUUAAAAUAGUUGGUUGUGAAAUCCCGAAGCUUAACUUCGGAACUGCAAUCAAAACUUUUUAGCUAGAGUAUGAUAGAGGAAAGCAGAAUUUCUAGUGUAGAGGUGAAAUUCGUAGAUAUUAGAAAGAAUACCAAUUGCGAAGGCAGCUUUCUGGAUCAUUACUGACGCUGAGGAACGAAAGCAUGGGUAGCGAAGAGGAUUAGAUACCCUCGUAGUCCAUGCCGUAAACGAUGUGUGUUAGACGUUGGAAAUUUAUUUUCAGUGUCGCAGCGAAAGCAAUAAACACACCGCCUGGGGAGUACGACCGCAAGGUUAAAACUCAAAUGAAUUGACGGGGACCCGCACAAGUAGUGGAGCAUGUGGUUUAAUUCGAAGAUACGCGCAGAACCUUACCAACACUUGACAUGUUCAUCGCGACUCUAAGAGAUUAGAGUUUUCGGUUCGGCCGGAUGAAACACAGGUGCUGCAUGGCUGUCGUCAGCUCGUGUCGUGAGAUGUUGGGUUAAGUCCCGCAACGAGCGCAACCCUCACUUUUAGUUGCCAUCAUUUAGUUGGGCACUCUGAAAGAACUGCCAGUGAUA
rnacentral:rRNA from 1 species